rnacentral:rRNA from 1 species
AUUGAACGCUGGCGGCAGGCCUAACACAUGCAAGUCGAGCGGAUGAGGGGAGCUUGCUCCUGGAUUCAGCGGCGGACGGGUGAGUAAUGCCUAGGAAUCUGCCUGGUAGUGGGGGGUAACGUCCGGGAACGGGCGCUAAUACCGCAUACGUCCUGAGGGAGAAAGUGGGGGAUCUUCGGACCUCACGCUGUCAGAUGAGCCUAGGUCGGAUUAGCUGGUUGGUGGGGUAAAGGCCUACCAAGGCGGCGAUCCGUAACUGGUCUGAGAGGAUGAUCAGUCAUACUGGAACGGAGGAACGGCCCAGACGCCUACGGGAGGCAGCAGUGGGGAAUAUUGGACAACGGGCGGAAGCCGGAUCCAGCCGCGACGCCGGGUGGAAGAAGGUCUUCGGAUUGUUGAGAACCUUUUGUGGGGAUGAAGGGCAGUAAGUUAAUACCUUGCUGGUUUGACGUAACCAACAGAAGAAGCACCGGCUAACUACGUG